AGCCGGGAAUGGAAAGCCCGGUGCAAGCGGGGUACCAGCCACUUUGGCAAAUCCGGGUGGCAAUGGGAAGCCGUGAUGCGGAGCGAAAUAAAGUAGCGAAGUCCGUGAGCCAUGCGUCAAGAAAAGCCGCUAUUGUUUAUACCGUACCCGUACCGUAAACCGACACAGGUGGAUGAGGAGAGAAUCCUAAGGCCGGCGGAAGAAGCAUUGUCAAGGAACUCGGCAAAAUGGCCCCGUAACUUAGGGAUAAGGGGUGCCUGGGAAACCAGGCCGCAGAGAAUAGGCUCAAGCAACUGUUUAGCAAAAACACAGGUCUAUGCGAAACCGAAAGGUGAGGUAUAUGGGCUGACGCCUGCCCGGUGCUGGAAGGCUAAGAGGAGAGGUUAGCGCAAGCGAAGCUUUGAAUUUAAGCCCCAGUAAACGGCGGCCGUAACAAUAACGGUCCUAAGGUAGCGAAAUUCCUUGUCGGGUAAGUUCCGACCCGCACGAAAGGCGUAAUGAUUAGAGCGCUGUCUCGACAAUGCAUCCGGUGAAAUUGAAGUACCAGUGAAGAUGCUGGUUACCUGCGCCAGGACGGAAAGACCCCAUGAGCUUUACUCCAGUCUGGUACUGGGACUCGGUAUUGCAUGUACAGGAUAGGUGGGAGGCUAGGAGAUGGUAACGCCAGUUGCCAUGGAGCCGCUGUUGGGAUACCACCCUUGCAGUAUUGGGUUUCUAACCAGCCGCCGUGACCCGGCGGUGGGACAAUGCCAGACGGGGAGUUUGACUGGGGCGGUCGCCUCCGAAAGGGUAUCGGAGGCGCCCAAAGGUUCCCUCAGAAUGGACGGAAACCAUUCGAAGAGUGCAAAGGCAGAAGGGAGCUUGACUGCGACACCGACGGGUGGAGCAGGUACGAAAGUAGGGCUUAGUGAUCCGGUGGUAUUAAGUGGGAAUGCCAUCGCUCAACGGAUAAAAGCUACCCUGGGAUAACAGGCUUAUCACUCCCAAGAGUUCACAUCGACGGAGUGGUUUGGCACCUCGAUGUCGGCUCAUCGCAUCCUGGGGCUGUAGUAGGUCCCAAGGGUUGGGCUGUUCGCCCAUUAAAGCGGUACGCGAGCUGGGUUCAGAACGUCGUGAGACAGUUCGGUCCCUAUCCGGCGUGGGCGUAGGAUUUCUGAGAGGAGCUGUCCUUAGUACGAGAGGACCGGGAUGGACGGGCCGCUGGUGCAUCGGUUAGACUGCCAAGUCUACGGCCGAGUAGCCAAGCCCGGAAGGGAUAAACGCUGAAGGCAUCUAAGCGUGAAGCCCCCCUUAAGAUGAGAUAUCCCAUUCGAAAGAAGUAAACCCCCUUGAAGACGACGAGGUAGAUAGGGCAGAGGUGGAAGUGCAGCAAUGCAUGGAGCUGACUGUUACUAAUCGGGUGAGGGCUUGAUC
rnacentral:rRNA from 1 species